rnacentral:rRNA from 1 species
GAUCCUGGCUUAGGAUGAACGCUGGCGGCGUGCCUAAUACAUGCAAGUCGAUCGAGGGAGACUUAGCUUGCUAAGUCGAACUAGAGGCGAACGGGUGAGUAAUACAUAAGCAACCUGCCCACGAAGACUGGGAUAAUCCCUGGAAACGGGGACUAAUACCGGAUAGGUAACCGGACCGCAUGAUCUGGUUAUUAAAGGUUAAAAACACUGGUGGAUGGGCUUAUGGCGCAUUAGUUAGUUGGUGAGGUAACGGCUCACCAAGACGAUGAUGCGUAGCCGGCCUGAGAGGGUGAACGGCCACAUUGGGACUGAGACACGGCCCAGACUCCUACGGGAGGCAGCAGUAGGGAAUUUUCGGCAAUGGGGGAAACCCUGACCGAGCAACGCCGCGUGAGUGAUGACGGCCUUCGGGUUGUAAAGCUCUGUUGUAAGGGAAGAACGGUACGGAGAGAAUCCGUAAAUGACGGUACCUUACCAGAAAGCCACGGCUAACUACGUGCCAGCAGCUGC